rnacentral:rRNA from 1 species
AUUGAACGCUGGCGGCAGGCCUAACACAUGCAAGUCGAGCGAGCGGCGGACGGGUGAGUAAUGUAUGGGGACUGCCCGAUAGAGGGGGAUAACUACUGGAAACGGUAGCUAAUACCGCAUACUAUCGGAUAACCCAUAUGGGAUUAGCUAGUAGGUGAGGUAAUGGCUAACCUAGGCGACGAUCCCUAGCUGGUCUGAGAGGAUGAUCAGCCAAAAUGGGACUGAGACAGGGCCCAGACUACUAGGGAGGCAGCAGUGGGGAAUAUUGCACAAGGGGCGCAAGCCUGAUCCAGCAAGCCGGCGUGUAUGAUGAAGGCCUUCGGGUUGGAAAGUACGUUUGGCAGAGAAGCGGUAUCUGCAGAAUAAGCACCGGCUAACUACGUGCCAGCAGCCGCGGUAAUUC